rnacentral:rRNA from 1 species
GAUGAACGCUGGCGGCGUGCCUAAUACAUGCAAGUCGAGCGAACGGACGAGAAGCUUGCUUUUCUGAUGUUAGCGGCGGACGGGUGAGUAACACGUGGAUAACCUACCUAUACGACUGGGAUAACUUCGGGAAACCGGAGCUAAUACCGGAUAAUAUUUUGAACCGCAUGGUUCAAAAGUGAAAGAAGGUCUUGCUGUCACUUAUAGAUGGAUCCGCGCUGCAUUAGCUAGUUGGUAAGGUAACGGCUUACCAAGGCAACGAUGCAUAGCCGACCUGAGAGGGUGAUUGGCCACACUGGAACAGAGACACAGUCCAGACUCCUACACUGGGCAGCAGUAGGGAAUCUUCCGCAAUGCGCGAGAGCCUGACGGAGCAACGCCGCGUGAGUGAUGAAGGUCUUCUGAUCGUAAAACUCUGUUAUUAGGGAAGAACAUAUGUGUAAGUAACUGUGAACAUCUUGACGGUACCUAAUCAGAAAGCCACGGCUAACUACGUG